CCUACGGGUGGCAGCAGUGAGGAAUAUUGGUCAAUGGCCGUAAGGCUGAACCAGCCAAGUCGCGUGAAGGAAGAAGGAUCUAUGGUUUGUAAACUUCUUUUAUAUGGGAAUAAAGGUAUCCACGUGUGGAUAUUUGUAUGUACCCUAUGAAUAAGCAUCGGCUAACUCCGUGCCAGCAGCCGCGGUAAUACGGAGGAUCCGAGCGUUAUCCGGAUUUAUUGGGUUUAAAGGGAGCGUAGAUGGGUUGUUAAGUCAGUUGUGAAAGUUUGCGGCUCAACCGUAAAAUUGCAGUUGAUACUGGCAGUCUUGAGUACAGUAGAGGUAAGCGGAAUUCGUGGUGUAGCGGUGAAAUGCUUAGAUAUCACGAAGAACCCCGAUUGCGAAGGCAGCUUACUAAACUGUGACUGACAUUGAUGCUCGAAAGUGUGGGUAUCAAACAGGAUUAGAUACCCCUGUAGUC
rnacentral:rRNA from 1 species